rnacentral:snRNA from 1 species
GUGCUCACUUCGGCAGCACAUACACUAAAAUUGGAAUGAUAUAGAGAAGAUUAUCAUGGCCCCUGCGCAAGGAUGACACAUAAAUCCGUGAAGUGUUCCAUCGUUUU